rnacentral:lncRNA from 1 species
AGAGAAGGACCUGGAGAUCUCGCGGCCUGAAGGUAAAGGACCACCAGUUUCUUGUUUGAUGCCCAAAACAAACACAGAGGAAGAAAAUCCAGCUGUUUCCAGAGCAAUGGAAUCAGGAGUCUGGAGUUGGAAAAGUGCCAGGCGUCACGAGAUUUGUAGCCCGGGCUGAAAUGUACUGUGCUUGCAUUUUGACCUUUGCCUGGCACCCACGACUGGCCUGCCUUCUCUGCCCCAACUCCUCCUUCUGACUGGUGUCCUUAUGUUUGGAUCUGUGCUGGAAUUGGUUCUGAGACAACAUAAACAGAGCAUGACUCAUGGAUUUGAAGAAGUGUAAGGGUGAAGAACAUGAAGUCAUCAAGGUUAGAAGAAGCGAUGCCAGCGAUGAACACCAGGCUUCACUCACGUUCAAGGAGAGAUGAUUCCAUUCAUUUUAUGAGGUUCACCCAGAAGCGUGGUUGUUGAGUUCUUGAAAAUACAGAGGUCAAAUCGUUUAGGUGUCUAUGUUUCCCCAACAAUACUUUGCUCUGGGGUGGGUAUCACCUGUAGGGUAGUUGUACUGAUGAAAAGGCCUUAUUGGGCACCAAAAGCUCUGACUGGCAUGCUGGUGGAAGACCCUCAAUAGUAUAGAGAGAGUCAGCCCAGGCCCCUCUGACAUACCGGGUUUCCAUCUUAAGACUCUUUGGAUGCGGGGUCAGCCUUCUGAUUCUACUGGCAGUAACUCCAGACCUAUAUCUUGGGAACAUCGGAGAUAAAGUUCAAGGAUGUUUUGUGCUGUGAAAAUAAAAUGACUACUAAAUGGUACCAGGCAAGCAGCCUUGUUGCCUAAUUUUAUGUACAUGACUUAGUGAUAUGGUUAUAAAAUAUGGGCAAAAUAAAGUGAACUGAAUUUAACUGGC